rnacentral:lncRNA from 1 species
CACCUCAGGAUCUUCUAAGAAGAAGGAGUUCUUCAGAUGCUGACAGUCAGGGUUGGAGACUACUGCAGAGGCUGAGCGCUAGUGGAGUCAUCCAAUAUCUGCGGCACUGCUGAGAGACUCCCGUCCACGUCUGCAAGGAAGGUCAUGCAGAGGUAACUGAGCGCUGCCACAGUUAACCAUUUCACUUGACCUGAUGGGUUUUCUCCCUUUAAAUCAA